rnacentral:lncRNA from 1 species
GCAUAUGGAGGUUCCCAGGCUAUGGGUCGAAUCAGAGGUACAGCUUCCAGCUUGUGCCACAGCCACAGCAAUGCCAGAUCUGAGGCACAUCUGUGCCUAUGCCACAGCUCCUGGGAACACCGGAUCCUUAACCCAUGGUGUGGGGCCAGGGAUCCUACCCUCAACCUAAUGUUUCCUAGUCAGAUUCAUUUCUGCUGCGCCAUGAUGGGAACUCCCACAAGUAUAAUUUUUAAAGUUAUUUUCUCUUGUCCUUUCUAAAGAAAGAGAGUUCACAAUAAAAAAAUUAAGCUUAAGAAACAUAUUAUCUUUUCAGGAUGCCUUGAAGUUCUGUAUCAAACAAUGAAUUACUUCAUGUUAAAGGGGUUUAUGUUUAUGAACAUUAUUCUCUAGGGAUUAUUUUAAAUAUGUUUUUGAAGCAUUAACAUAUUUACUGAUUUGCUCAUAUAUUAGUUCUUAUGUAAUUAAAUAUGCAAAUGUACUUUACAAAAUAUAAAUAUGUAUUUACUUUUACAUAUUAAUUAUUAUAUAUUAUUUAACAGAAAUGUAAUUGCAUUUAUUCAGAAAUAUUGGAUAGUUGAAAAUUUCACCUUCCUACUAGACUUUCCCCCAUUAUGUAGAGGUAGAGGAAUUUUAUUAUAAUAUAUGUUAAUAAUGUUCAUCUUUUUUUAAGCUUUUUUGGUUGGAUGUUUUAACACCAAGAGAAAAUCAUUCUUUUUUUUUUUUUAUCUUUUUGCUAUUUCUUGGGCCGCUCCCAUGGCAUGUGGAGGUUCCCAGGCUAGGGGUCGAAUCAGAGCUGUAGCCACCGGCCUACGCCAGAGCCGCAGCAACGCAGGAUCCGAGCCGUGUCUGCAACCUACACCACAGCUCACGGCAACGCUGGAUCGUUAACCCACUGAGCAACGGCAGGGAUCGAACCCGCAACCUCAUGGUUCCUAGUCGGAUACGUUGACCACUGCGCCACGACGGGAACUCCGAGAAAAUCUUUCUUAUGUACGUGGCACUUGAAAAUGCAGUCUUGACUGAAAUGAAUUAAUCUGAAAAUGUGAAACAUUAACUAUUCAUUUAUUGUCAAGAUUAAGACAGGAUAUGUUAAUUUAUGUACAGCACAGAAGGGCAUCUUGUCCAUACUCAAUUAUGUUUGGGAAUGAUUAUUAGAAGUUAACCAAAUUUGAUAGACAUAUUUCUAAAAUAAAUACGAUAAUCUUAUAAGAUUCAAUCGUUUGAACUUUUAUUUGCUUUUCAAAUAGCAAAUCUCUUUUGGUUGACUACAGAUAUUGUAAUUCUCAGUUACUGUGUAAUCGGUGGAUGUUCUCUGUUGCUUUUUAGAUAUGUAAGUUCAUUUGUCUCAAUUUUAUUUCAGACUGGUGUGUUUUUGAGGUGUUUAUUUUCAGAAUUUUCUGUCUCCUUCCUCACUGUCAAAAUCCCAGCUGUCACUUCUGCUUCUGUCCUGAUGCUAGCCUUCAGCAGCCUCCCAGUUCCUUCUUGUUCUUUUUCUCAUCAUUAUUCUGCAGAUAGCACAUGAACUCAGUAACAUCUAUUUCGGCCACUCAGUAGUCUCUUUGGUUGACUUCCUGAUUCUGGAAUGUGAGGCUGAUGGAUAAUAGUCCCUGAAUAAGUAAACGGUCCAUUCACUUUUCUUUUGAUGAUGAUGAAUAACUGCUACCUGUUUUCAGAUGAUGAAAACGGGCCUGAGAGACCUCAGAUAAAGUUGAAAAACUUAUGAUGAUCAGUGGGAAAAAAGAGUAUUUCAACACAUUAUAGAAAUAGAAAACAUUAUUCCUUGAAUAAAGCAAGACUUUUGAAAGAGUCCUUUUCUAUUCCAUUGUUGCUUUGAUUUGAAAGGUCUUAAAAGUAAGGACUUGUUUAUUACAUUGGUAAAAGGCUCAGAGCACAUAAACAGUUCCCCCAUUGGAGUCAUCAAUAAUUCAAGAACAAAGGAGAGAGGUUUGCAGAAAGUAUAAAAUUCCAAAGCCAAAAGAUAACAUGAUCUAGAAACUCACCAGGGAAAAACUAAACUGACAAAUUUGGUUUAUCACCACCUUGCAAAUGUGUGGUGUUAGUGAACACUUGACUUCAUUUUUUCUAAAGCGUAAACAGUAUUUUAGGUAGCUGAAGACAUCGACAUAUGGAAGGUGUUUGGGAGUUGAUGCCAGUUGAAUAAUUAUUUCGUAAAUUAAUGAACAAGUUAUUAUUGGACAUUGACUGUUUGCACAGCACAGCCCAGGUGGUGUGGGGGAAGCAGGAAUCAAAGCACAUCGUGCUCUCUCUAUUCCCAUGGGACAUCCUGCCAUCCGAUUACAACUGUUUACUGUCAAAAAACGUACGUCAUUUAAAAAUGACAGUCAUGUAUUUUUUCAGUUUCUAAAUGGAGCACUAGAGAUAGUAAGAAGCAGCAGGACUCUUGUAUAGCAAUGUAGGCAAAGACAAAGAAUUCUCCUAAAAUAUGUCUGGUGAAAAGGGAUCUUAUCACAAAAAGAGUUUGCGCUUCAGCUGGUCAGAGGACUUUAGGAUUAGCCUUGGGCUUAAAGUGGCAAAGUGUCUUAUUCUCAUAACAUUAGAGGCUAGAGCAGGAUUAAAAGAAACAAAGGAAAUUCUUGGUUGUGUUUAAUUAACCUCUUUUACGAAGGUGUUUAUUUGUGGUCAGAUGGAAAAGCGGAUUCCUCUGCAAGGAUUCCUCUGCACUUGUGAUCAACACAGGUGCAAAGGGUCAGUCAGGAAUUCUCAGGGGUUCUUGUGGGCAAGAAAGAAAUGUGAAAAAAGGAAGAAUAGAUAUAGGAAAAUAAAGCUUGGUGUGUUUCCAGUAAUACCAGCUGAUUAAAUAUCCCAAAAUAGCCUUGACACAAAAUAUGUGGACGUGUUGGAUGAUAUAUAACCUACAUUCUUUAAAUGGAUAACUUACCCGCAACGAAAUAGAUUUUCAGGGGCCAAUGAUCAAGAGGAACUUGAAAAAAGAAUAGAAAGAAACUCUGAAUCUAGGCUUUUCUGCAGGGUUUUCGGGAGCAUUGGGGAAUUUUGCGACAGGGGGCUUAGGUUGUAAUGACUACAUGAAAGUGGGGGGAGGUGAUGUUUGAGGGUUUUAUCAAGAAGGGAGUUCAAAUUAAAACCUUCACAAAUUCUAGAAUUCUUUUUUAAAAUUUUAAGCAUAGUUAAUUUACAAUAUUGUGUUAGUUUCAAGUGUAGAGCAAAGUGAUUCAG